ACGGCACAUGCAUGAAACAUUAAAUAUAGAUAAAAGAAAUAACUAAUUACAUAGUUAACUGUAAUUUGCGGGACUAACCUUUUGAGCCUAGUUAGUCCAUGAUUGGAUAAUAUUUGUCAAAUACAAACGAAAGUGCUACAGUGUCAAUUUUGCAAAAAAAAAGAAACUAAAUAAGGCCAUAAUAAAAUUCGUGGACUUUCGUUUGUAGCACUUUCGAGAAUAUAUCUCUACAACUAAAAAUUAUGAAGAGGACCCGUCUACCACACCCGUGGCGAAACUGUGACUCCCGUCCUCUUCGGUGGUCUUUUUUACUCGAUUCAUCCUAUCUCUGCACCAUAGGCAAGGAGCAGAAAAGGAUAAGUGCGCAUAGAUGACAGGCUAUUCCAUCAACGCAGGACCCAUUUACCCACACAUGCAAAAAUAUUUUUAACGAAUUAAAAAAGUCAUAGCUCCUAAACCGAAGAUCUAAAUUAAAUCCUGAUUACACCAUUAAAUUUCUUAUAAUAAAUCCUUCGAAACAAGAUCACACAUGGAAUAUUUAGAUAAAAUUUUAUUAAUGAAUAUUUAUCUUAUAAAGAUAAAAUAUUUUCUUUUAUUAAGUAGAAACAAUGUUCUAGGUUCAACAGACAAUGUUCCAUCUUUGUAAGAAAAAUGUUAUCGAUUUAGAAGAAUAAUAUUAUGGUUUUAGGUUUAUGAAAUCGAUACUACAAUAUACAUAAAAAUAAAUAAAUACAUGACAUAGAUAAAAAUAAUAAUAAUCUAGAGCAAAAAGCAUAAGAAAAAAAGAAAACACAUAAUAGAGAAAAAAUUCAAAGAAUAUCAAAGUGUUACUUUUCAAAUAUCAUAAAUAUAGUUUUAGACUAUUACAAAAGGCAUCAUUUCAAGCUUGCACCUCACCACAAC
rnacentral:lncRNA from 1 species